rnacentral:rRNA from 1 species
GGGUCAGUAGGUUGGUCGUGCCACCGGUACGUACUGGUCUCACUGAUUCCUCCUUCCUUAAUAACCGUAAUGCCAUUGAUUUGGUGUUGCGGGGAAACAGGACUGUUACUUUGAAAAAAUUAGAGUGUUUAAAGCAAGCUAACGCUUGAAUACAUUAGCAUGGAAUAAUGAAAUAGGACGAUCGAUCCUAUUUUGUUGGUUUCUAGGAUUGACGUA